rnacentral:rRNA from 1 species
CCUACGGGUGGCAGCAGUGAGGAAUAUUGGUCAAUGGGCGGAAGCCUGAACCAGCCAAGUAGCGGGCGGGAUGAAGGCCCUACGGGUCGUAAACCGCGUGUGCACGGGGAUAACACCCGCCACUUGUGGAGGUCUGCAGGUACCGUGCGAAUAAGGGCCGGCUAAUUCCGUGCCAGCAGCCGCGGUAAUACGGAAGGCCCGAGCGUUAUCCGGAUUCAUUGGGCUUAAAGGGAGCGUAGGCGGGCGUUCAAGUCAGCUGUAAAAGCGCUCGGCUCAACCGCGCCCCGCAGUUGAAACUGGACGCCUUGAGUUCACAACAGGCAGGCGGAAUUCGUGGUGUAGCGGUGAACUGCAUAGAUAUCACGCGGAACCCCGAUUGCGAAGGCAGCCUGCCGGGGUGCGACUGACGCUGAGGCUCGAAAGUGCGGGUAUCAAACAGGAUUAGAUACCCGUGUAGUC